rnacentral:tRNA from 1 species
GCCUCCCUGGUGUAGUGGUCAGCACGCUCGACGCGUAACCGAGAGGUCCGUGGUUCGAUUCCCGGCGAAAGCG